GAACACAAAAUGGCGACACGUGGUUAGCAUUCGUCGCCAACGAGAAAUUGGGGUCGGCCCGAAAGCUCUAGAAUGCACCCCUCUUCCUCCCCGGGGCCUUCCACCUCCGCGAGUUUUAUGACUUAAAAAAGCCCACAGGCUGGUCUGAAGGUCGGAGGCCUAAUUUUAACGCGUUUUCCUCCCUUUAAUUUGAAACGGGAACGCGAAUGACUGUAAAAUGUGGGCACAAUAUUUAAUCUCUCGCCUUUUUAAAGCUUAAUAGUGGAUAAUAGGGGGGCAGUAUCAAGGGAUAAUUUGGGUCCCCACAGUACCAAAGCAUUUAGAAACCUCUGUUUAAUUUAAGGAAUGAGAUAAGUUACUGCUUUUCUAGACUUCCUAGCAUGGGCUGUUGUGCUGGAGAGAACGAGAGCUACGAAGAGACUACAGUGCCUCUGACUUUUUCAUAGGACAGUUGGCCGAGGAAGACAAACAUAAAGAUGAAGUGCUUAAUUCAAGGUCACACAAUGUCGGGGAUGGACCUCCAGAUUUCCUUACUGGUGAGACGUGGUCUUGUAACACAGUGGUUAAGAAUGUGACUUUGGAGCCAGCCUGCUAGGGGCUGAAUUCUGACUCAGCCAUUUACUAACUGUGUGACCUUAGGGAGGAGGACCUGGUUGAUAGAAGAAUUUAUCUCGUAGUCUUAACAUCCACUGUAAUUCCAAACUUUGAGGACGAUAGAGAUCAGUGGGCUUUGACUGCCCAGCAUGCAGUCUCCAUUCUUAGGUGGAGUCUCACUCUGUAGCCCAAGCUGGAGUGGCGUGAUCUCGACUCACUGCAACCUCCGCCUCCUGGGAUCAAGUGAUUCUCGUGCCUCAGCCUCCUGAGUAGCCGGGACUACAG
rnacentral:lncRNA from 1 species